rnacentral:rRNA from 1 species
CUCGUAGGUGGCCAACUAAGUCAGACGUGAAAUCCCCAGGCUUAACCUGGGAACUGCGUCUGAUACUGGAUGGCUUGAAUUCGGGAGAGGGAUGCAGAAUUCCAGGUGUAGCGGUGAAAUGCGUAGAUAUCUGGAGGAAUACCGGUGGCGAAGGCGGCAUCCUGGACCGAUAUUGACACUGAUGAGCGAAAGCCAGGGGAGCAAACG